rnacentral:piRNA from 1 species
UCCAUGCACUGAGCAGCUGAUAAGGCUGGAA